AAUAAAGGUUUUUUUUUGGGUACAACCUCCGCAGCAGAAACAUGGCUGCAACUGCUACUUGGGAUUUCAGCUGUCACUUGGAUGUGAAUUUCGAAACGGAACAACAUGCUUUCAUUGCGUACACAUCAUUGGCUGUUGAUAAAGAGGUUUAAAAGUUUCUCAAUUCACUACCAACAUAUGAAUAGUUGCAGCCGGGUAAGGUGAGAAGAGUCAUGUCGGUAUCAAACAACAAGCUUUCUGUGCACUUUGAGGCAAUAGAGGCAAGGCUUCUUCGAGCAUCCUUGUCCGCGUUUGUAGACGUUCUUACACUGGCCACAAAAACAAUUCAAGAAUUUCGGGAAGAUUAAAACACCAAUGUGUAAAAGAAGUUUGAUUCUUUCUCUCUGUCCCUUCAAGAAUUCAAUUAUUGUAGUGCUGAAUUGGAGGACUGUAAAAACACUUUCAAUUUGAUAUACUUUGUACUGACUCCUAAUUAAAUUUCUAAACACUUCUAGUUUCA